GAUGAACGCUGGCGGCGUGCUUAACACAUGCAAGUCGAACGGGAAUUAUUUUAUUGAGACUUCGGUCGAUUUAAUUUAAUUCUAGUGGCGGACGGGUGAGUAACGCGUGGGUAACCUGCCUUAUACAGGGGGAUAACAGUCAGAAAUGGCUGCUAAUACCGCAUAAGCGCACAGAGCUGCAUGGCUCAGUGUGAAAAACUCCGGUGGUAUAAGAUGGACCCGCGUUGGAUUAGCUGGUUGGUGGGGUAACGGCCCACCAAGGCGACGAUCCAUAGCCGGCCUGAGAGGGUGAACGGCCACAUUGGGACUGAGACACGGCCCAGACUCCUACGGGAGGCAGCAGUGGGGAAUAUUGCACAAUGGGGGAAACCCUGAUGCAGCGACGCCGCGUGAAGGAAGAAGUAUCUCGGUAUGUAAACUUCUAUCAGCAGGGAAGAUAGUGACGGUACCUGACUAAGAAGCCCCGGCUAACUACGUG
rnacentral:rRNA from 1 species